GAUGAACGCUGGCGGCGUGCCUAAUACAUGCAAGUCGAGCGAACAGAUGAGGAGCUUGCUCCUCUGACGUUAGCGGCGGACGGGUGAGUAACACGUGGAUAACCUACCUAUAAGACUGGGAUAACUUCGGGAGACCGGAGCUAAUACCGGAUAAUAUAUUGAACCGCAUGGUUCAAUAGUGAAAGACGGUUUUGCUGUCACUUAUAGAUGGAUCCGCGCCGCAUUAGCUAGUUGGUAAGGUAACGGCUUACCAAGGCAACGAUGCGUAGCCGACCUGAGAGGGUGAUCGGCCACACUGGAACUGAGACACGGUCCAGACUCCUACGGGAGGCAGCAGAAGGGAAUCUUCCGCAAUGGGCGAAAGCCUGACGGAGCAACGCCGCGUGAGUGAUGAAGGUCUUCGGAUCGUAAAACUCUGUUAUUAGGGAAGAACAAAUGUGUAAGUAACUAUGCACGUCUUGACGGUACCUAAUCAGAAAGCCACGGCUAACUACGUG
rnacentral:rRNA from 1 species